rnacentral:rRNA from 1 species
GAUGAACGCUAGCGGCAGGCCUAAUACAUGCAAGUCGAACGGUGUCUUCGGACAUAGUGGCGCACGGGUGCGUAACACGUAUGCAACCUACCUUACAUUGGGGGAUAGCCUUUCGAAAGGGAGAUUAAUACCGCAUAAGACAGUAGCUGGGCAUCCAGCAGCUGUUAAAGAUUUAUCGAUGUAAGCUGGGCAUGCGUCCAAUUAGCUAGUUGGUGAGGUAACGGCUCACCAAGGCAAUGAUUGGUAGGGGAACUGAGAGGUCAAUCCCCCACACUGGACCUGAGAUACGGGCCAGACUCCUACGGGAGGCAGCAGUAGGGAAUAUUGGGCAAUGGGCGCAAGUCUGACCCAGCCAUGCCGCGUGCAGGAUGAAGGCGUUAUGCGUUGUAAACUGCUUUUAUACAGGAAGAAACGACUCUUGCGAGAGGCAUUGACGGUACUGUAUGAAUAAGCACCGGCUAACUCCGUGCCAGCCGCCGCCGUAAGAC